rnacentral:snRNA from 1 species
GUACUUGCUUCAGUAGCACAUCUUCUAAACUGGAAAUGAUAUAGAGAAGAUUAGCGCGGCCCCUGGGCAAGGAUGAUGUAUAAAUUCAUGAACUAGUCCAUGUUUUU